GACGAACGCUGGCGGCGUGCUUAAAACCUGCAAGUCGAACGGACUUCUCAUGAAGCUUGCGAUUGAGAAGUUAGUGGCGGACGGGUGAGUAACGCGUGGGCAACCUGCCCCUGAGCCCGGGAUAACAGUUCGAAAGGACUGCUAAGACCGGAUAUACUUGCGGUGAAGCAUUUCACUGCAAGGAAAGGGAACGCUCAGGGAUGGGCCCGCGUCCCAUUAGCUAGUUGGUGAGGUAACGGCCCACCAAGGCGACGAUGGGUAGCCGGCCUGAGAGGGUGAACGGCCACACUGGGACUGAGACACGGCCCAGACUCCUACGGGAGGCAGCAGUUGGGAAUCUUCGGCAAUGGGCGCAAGCCUGACCGAGCAACGCCGCGUGAGUGAUGAAGGUUUUCGGAUUGUAAAGCUCUGUCUUCCGGGACGAUAAUGACGGUACCGGAGGAGGAAGCCACGGCUAACUACGUG
rnacentral:rRNA from 1 species